CAACUCACACACAUACACACCACCUUUCACUAACCAGCUUAGCUCCCCCUUUAUCUCUAGGGAGUGUCUAUGAUGCACACACCCCCAGAUGUUUCUCCCCAACAACCAGGAUUCCAGGGCUCUGAUCCUACCUGGGUGAGCCAGUGCUAGGCAAAGUGGAGCCCCCAGCACAGCUUGGGGCUGAGUUGCAAAGCUGAGCGACCCAACCCUGGAGCUUGUGCCUUCAGCUCCUCCACCCUCCAGAGCCCUUAGUGAUCCUCACCAGGGAAGUCUCUGUACAGAGGAGGAUCAGCAAAAGAAUCCACAUUCUGCUUCCUAAGGCUGUGGUUAUAUGUCUCCCCUCUCUCUGAGAUUAUACUGAAGCUCUGCAGACCCUGAUUCUCCCCAGGGUUCCCCUCAAUCUCCUCAUCUUCCCACCAGUAUUAAGCCCACCAAAUAUCCAUCCCUCUCUCAAGAUGGAAUCACACUGACCAAGCUCACCAUAGUGAUGAAAAAACAGAAUACCAACUUUGAAAAUGGUGUUAAGCAGUUUCAGCAAAAACCUACCAUGUAACAAGAAUGAUGCUCGCUGUUGGUACACAGCAGAGGGAAUAGGUGAGUUCAAAUCUCACCUAAGUGCCACCCCUGAGAAGGGGUAGAAAGUCACCUUUCCUGCCUGUUAAGGGUGACACCAGCACCUAUCUCAAAUAAGU